AUGGCGUCCCUAGUCUAGGAUAAGAAAUUAUUUCAAACCUAAGAUAAUCUUACAAAUGCUUCCACAGUGGCAACAAGCUAUAUUGAUCUAAACUGUCCAAAGGUUGUGACGUUUCAGAUUACAGACGUCGCUUUAGAAAAGAGUCUGUUCUGGCAACUUAUAGACUCAAUAUGGAAUUCUUAUAAUUUCUGUUUAUGUAUUUUUGAAUAUUAAAUUUACUUUGUAAAUGGGCCUACAACUGUGAAGCUCUGCGCUGAAACAAUGAAAUACAAACAUAUGGCAGCAUUGUACCAGUUCUUUGGGGCUACAAACCAACGAUCGAGUAUCAGCAUCGAGACAUCUGUAGGCUAAACUUCACGAAAGGUAAAGACUUCUUCCAAAGGCAGUGAAUGAGAGAUUAGCAAGCCCUUUGUCCGUAUGUCAACUUUAAAUCAGAUGAUCCCUCAGGGUACUUCUUAAAUAAAGUAUCCAAUGAGCUCAUUGGUAAGUUGAACUGAAGAAGAGAACAAUCUAUGAAUAUGGUAUAUGAACAUCACAUAGUUUUGUAACAUUUGAUAACACAAACAAUUAAAAGUUCUUGCACUGCAUGAUGAUCACAAGAACACACACAGAACAAGUAACAAAAAGUUUAUUUAAAAAUCCAAUCCACCUUUCUGAAGGUGAUGAUGGUCUAGAAUUUCUCAUUCUAUUUAUUUCUUGUACAGGUAAUGCUUUAGUAUGGCAAGGAGUCUUUUCAGUGAGUUCAGCAUUAUCUAGCUGUUCUUCAGUUCCCAAAUGUUUUUUUUUUCUGAACCAAUGAAGAAUUAGCAAACUAUUGUGAGGCAUUGUUAAAAUAAAUGAUUUAACUAAAGGCAGAUAAUGCUUUGCUUUUUUUACUAAAAAAACAAAAACAUGAUAAAUAAAUGUACAAGAGAUUCUUGUUAUCCAUUUAAACAAUGAAACAUUUACAACAAUGUAUCCAUCUUAUAAAGUAGGAGAAAUAAAUGUAGGAACAAUUUCUCUAAAUAAAAUAAUGAUACAAGAUAUGAACAUUUUUAGCAAGGAAACAUUAAGUGUUGUUGAAUUUUUUUUUUAAAAGAAGGAUAGAUUCUUAAAACAUGUUUAUCAAUACAAUAAAAUUAGUUAAUAAUACUAGCCUUGUGCAACCAUUGAGAUUCAAUUCAGUAUAUUUGAAAAAUUAGUUAUUAUUAUUAGGCAAAAUUUUCACCAGGAACUUAGAAGACAUGACAUACCAGUAAGGAAAAUUAAUGUUAGAAAUUAGCCUUCAAAUAAAUCAAACAUUUGAAUUCAUACUUUGCUGGAGCAGCAAAUAAAAACAAAACUUAAGAGGUAACUAAAAAUGUCAAUGAACGAUUGAAAUUUUCAAGAGGCAAGAAUGCAGCAUUAGGAAAAAAAAAGAUGAUCUUACAUUAUCUAGGUGACAUUUAAUAAGUAGAGUAGAGUAUGUAGUACCAAGAAACACAAUAACAUACAAUUUUGGCUCACAAUCCUGUUUGAUUUAAAUUUUAAAGAGAGAAAGAUUGAAAUAACUUCAACAACACUCACAGUUUCAGUUGUAUGUACAGUCACAGAUGUAGAACAUUAAACAGAAACAUUUGGGACAUUUCUGAGUGAAAAAAAGUAUUUUGUAAACUGGUAGUAACAAAAAUUAUUUCUAAACGGAUGUUAACAAAAUCCUAUAAUAGUAAAGUUCCCCUUUCAGACCUUGCAAUCUAUCUGGCAGAUGAUGUAAUGGUCAUCUGUUUCUAUGGCUC
rnacentral:sRNA from 1 species